AGCCAUCUUCGCAAGAGAUCUUGUUUGUUUUCAUUUUGGCUGUGCUAAAAAUUAAACAAUUUGUUUCCAAGCAGCUGUUUCAGUUUAUAAAUUUACAACUUUAGAUAAGGAUUAUAAGGUAAUUUAAUUAACUCGAAGAGUCAGUACGCUACAGUCUAAAUGCAAGAGGAACCGGAUCAGGAGCUUCCGCUGAGUGAUCUGCAGGAAACGACAACAGCAUCAGCGGUAAGUAAUGAUAAUACGAGCGCUUCCCUUUGAUCAGCGGGUGUUCCGACUUGAAAAGCUGCGAUCAGAAACCACUGGAGGAGCGGAUACAGGAUUGGUUGCUGUACAGUCACCGGGGAAGAGGCAGCAGCGCUUGCGAAAGUGAUAGCAUCUGACCAGUGCCGCAAAUGCAACAAAAUUCAUUGCCAGCAUCCCAUAGUGCAGAUGUCGGUGAAGUCAACCAGACAAAAUGUUUAUGUUUUUUAUUUAUUUUUAA